rnacentral:lncRNA from 1 species
AAAUAAACUAUAUAUUUCAUUUCAGUAGCACAUCACAUAAAAUAUAAUACAUCAUCCACCGACUCCUCUACACAUCAAGGUUCAAGGCCUAACAAGUGUACAUCAAAAUAAUUUUACAAGUGCACAACAUAAUACUUAUGCAACUACAAGUGCACAGAAAGAGGAUCCAACAAGUGCACAAUCGCACAUCAAGAGAGCUCUACAAAGAUUGAAUGAGAAGCACAAGUUUCUUCUCAUCCUCUUCCUCUACACAAUCUGCCACUCCUACUAUUGUCACCUGCAAGAAGAAAAUGAUGGCAAGGCUCAGAAAGCAGACCAAGGAAACUAACAUGAUAGAGCAUCAAAUACUAAUGCAUAGAUAAGCCUGUCGACAACGAGCCACAUACUCCCUCCGUCCCAAAAUAAGUGUCUUAAACUUAAUACAAUUUUGUUCUAGAGCAAGUGCAAAGUUGAGACAGUUAUUUUGAGACGGAGGAAGUAUAAUAAUAAAAAGGGCAGCAGAUAAUAAGAGAUUAUAGGUCCGUGCACAUGUACCACAAAGAAUAUCCUUAUAUUACUUAUCUCAAAAAUUCCAUGUAGAUGUUAGACAUGCUUGAAAAGAAACCUAGCUUAAAGAGAAAAAUAAAUCUACAAUCUUAGGAUAAUCAGGACAAUCUUGGUAUAACAAGAAUCAGCCCACGAGCAACAGAUCAGGAUAUAUAUAGAUAUAAAAAUUAACGAUUGUAAUUUUAGCUCAUAACCAGUUCUAAAAGUUCUAGUUAAGCACUUGCUCCUAACAAUGGAGAAAUUGUGAAUAAUCUAUAGUAAGUUUUCCCAAUUAAUUUCUUCUGGACAGUGAACUCAAUCACCUCUUCUAAGUUUAGUUGAAAGUAGAUAAGUCAUUUUGGGGCAUUACAUUGUUUCUUUAGUUUAAUUAGCUAUGCUUCUUAUGAGCAAAAACAAUAGUUUAGUUUAGUUUUAUAUAUUCUUUUAGUUUUAUGCUCACUCAGGGAUCCAAUUGGAUACGAGCAUCUUGCCGGCAAAAAUGAUGUUAUGUUUUGAUGGAUUUUUUAUUAAAAUAGAGUUGUUUGCAAAGAUGGAGUGUAGGAACGCCAAACAGGUGGCACACCUUGCAUUUUUAUCUGAAGAAACAAGGCAGGUCGAAUAAGGAUCAAAUAACACAAUGAAACUUCCCAUCAGAUACUCCAUGCAAUACUAUGUAUAUACCUAUGCACACCCAGCAAUACAGAAUAUAUACAAUAUAUUUAUUCAUAACUAGUAAAACUGAAUAUAUACUUAUGCACACAGCACACCUAUUCAACAAAGUGGGUAUAGAACCACUAAGACAGUUAAUAGCAACUUUAACCACAACAGUUGCAUAUAUACUUAUUUUCUCAUGUUUAUUACUGUACUUUCUACUCGAGAAAGCACUCUCAUUGAUCAAGGGGCUGGAAUGCUUAAACAUAAAAAGAUCAUCUUAAAAAGGCAUGCCUACUAGAAUUCGACAAGAUAAAAUAUAUCCACCUGUAUCAACCUAUAAGCCAAGGCCUCGUAUUUACACGUCCAAAUUUGUAAUGUGGGCCAAAAUAAUUAACAUAUACUUGACAAAUAACAGAAAAUGGUUGACAGGUGAAAACCUUUUGUUUUCGCAUCUUUUUAUCUAUUGUUGCCUCUUAUAUUAUCCCAUGAGAUACUCCAUGCAAUCAUCUCGUGACACCUGCAAGGCAUAAGCGGUUAUAAGACAACUAAUAUCAUGUUAUCUUGUGGUCAUGACACUUGUAGCAGGAUAUGCCAAUGAACAGAACAUAUAAAUGGGGUAGGAAAUACUGGAAGCAUGAAAAUAACGAGGAAUGCUCAAACCAUGCCACCUUGUAAAACAUACAUCUCUAGUCAAUGCUUCUACAUUUAACCAAAUUAUUUAGGAGACCGUUAUACAAACAACUAAGGAAAAUUUCGGUGAAAUAUUACAAAACAGUGGAUAUACUACAUAAAUGAAUCGGGAUUUUGUUCUUACCAUGCAUGUUCAGUUUUACUUAAGCAAAGCAAGACUUGGUCCAUCUCAAGUAAGAUGUACUCUCGCACGACUAACUGGACUACUCAUGCAUGCCUAGAAUUUGUUUGUGUGUACACUAGCUGAAAACGGGUGACAGAGUUAAGCAAAUGGCAGGAACAUCAAUCUUGUCUAGUUGAAAACUACAUAUAGGAGAAAAUCUGGCUUAGUAUUGAGUCUAGCAUUGACAAAUUCCCUGACCAUCGCUAGCACCUUCAGAACAACAGAUUUUAGUUCGUACAUAGCAGCAGAUUUGGAAUAUUCAUGUAAACAUUUAGAAGUCGCAAACACCUUCAUCAAUCGACAUCUUUCAGAAAGAAAAGAUAUAGACUGAUCGAUGUUGAACACAAAGGCAACGACGACAGUGAGGAUGGCACAAACAAAGCUGCAAGAGGCGUGGUCACCUUGGCCACAUACAUGGGAUGCCUAGGGUCCUUGCGCACGACGACAGUGAGGAUGGCACAAACAAAGCUGCAAGAGGCCGUGGUCACCUUGGCCACAUUACAAUGGGAUGCCUAGGGUCCUUGCGCAACGACGACAGUGAGGAUGGCACAAACGAAGCUGCUAAGACGGCSUGGUCACCUUAGGUCCANUUCAUGGAUGNNNNNNNNNNNNNNNNNNNNNNNNNNNNNNNNNNNNNNNNNNNNNNNNNNNNNNNNNNNNNNNNNNNNNNNNNNNNNNNNNNNNNNNNNNNNNNNNNNNNAAGGUUUUCCGAAACGUGGGGAAAGGGUUACGGAAUUCCUAACUCCGAAUAGGAAUUGGACGUAGGAACGUCCUCCAACUCCAAUUCGGACCAACCUUAGGUUUGAGGCUGCCUCCUCCCUCCUCCCACCUAUAUAUACGGAGGUUUUAGGGCUGAUUUCGAGACGACUUCUCACGCUGCCGACCACAUACCUCCAUAGUUUUCCUCUAGAUUGUGUUUCUGCGGAGCUCGGGCGGAGCCCUGCUUGAGACAAGAUCAUCACCAACCUCCGGAGCGCCGUCACGCUGCCGGAGAACUCUUCUACCUCUCCGUCUCUCUUGCUGGAUCAAGAAGGCCGAGAUCAUCGUCGAGCUGUACGUGUGCUGAACGCGGAGGUGCCGUCCGUUCGGUACUAGAUCGUGGGACUGAUCGCGGGAUUGUUCGCGGGGCGGAUCGAGGGACGUGAGGACGUUCCACUACAUCAACCGCGAUCUCUAAUCGCUUCUGCUGUACGAUCUACAAGGGUACGUAGAUCGCUCAUCCCCUCUCGUAGAUGAACAUCACCAUGAUAGGUCUUCGUGCGCGUAGGAAAAAUUUUGUUUCCCAUGCGACGUUCCCCAACAGUGGCAUCAUGAGCUAGGUUCAUGCGUAGAUGUCUUCUCGAGUAGAACACAAAAGUUUUUGUGGGCGGUGAUGUGCGUUUUGCUGCCCUCCUUAGUCUUUUCUUGAUUCCGCGGCAUUGUUGGAUUGAAGCGGCUUGGACCGACAUUACUCGUACGCUUACGAGAGACUGGUUUCAUCGUUACGAGUAACCCCCUUUGCUCAAAGAUGACUGGCAAGUGAUGGUUUCUCCAACUUUAGUUGAAUCGGAUUUGACCGAGGAGGUCCUUGGAUGAGGUUAAAUAGCAACUCAUAUAUCUCCGUUGUGGUGUUUGCGUAAGUAAGAUGCGAUCCUACUAGAUACCCCCGGUCACCACGUAAAACUUGCAACAACAAAAUUAGAGGACGUCUAACUUGUUUUUGCAGGGUAUGCUUGUGAUGUGAUAUGGCCAACGAUGUGAUGUGAUAUAUUGGAUGUAUGAGAUGAUCAUGUUGUAAUAGAAAUAUCGACUUGCACGUCGAUGGUACGGCAACCGGCAGGAGCCAUAGGGUUGUCUUUAUAACUAACGUUUUGUGCUUGCAGAUGCGUUUACUAUUUUGCUAGGACGUAGCUUUAGUAGUAAUAGCAUGAGUAGCACGACAACCCCGAUGGCGACACGUUGAUGGAGAUCAUGAUGAUGGAAAUCAUGGUGUGACGCCGGUGACAAGAAGAUCGUGCCGGUGUUUUGGUGAUGGAGAUCAAGAAGCACGUGCUGAUGGCCAUAUCAUGUCACUUAUGAAUUGCAUGUGAUGUUAAUCCUUUUAUGCACCUUAUUUUGCUUAGAACGACGGUAGCAUUAUGAGGUGAUCUCUCACUAAAAUUUCAAGACGAAAUUGUGUUCUCCCCGACUGUGCACCGUUGCUACAGUUCUUCGUUUCGAGACACCACGUGAUGAUCGGGUGUGAUAGACUCAACGUUCACAUACAACGGGUGCAAAACAGUUGCGCACGCGGAACACUCGGGUUAAGCUUGACGAGCCUAGCAUGUGCAGACAUGGCCUUGGAACACAUGAGACCGAAAGGUCGAGCAUGAAUUGUAUAGUUGAUAUGAUUAGCAUAGAGAUGCUUACCACUGAAACUAUUCUCGACUCACGUGAUGAUCGGACUUGAGAUAGUGGAUUUGGAUCAUGUACCACUCAAAUGACUAGAGAGAUGUACUUUUUGAGUGGGAGUUCUUAAGUAAUAUGAUUAAUUGAACUAAUUGUCAUGAACAUAGUCUAAUGGUAUUUGCGAAUUACGAUGUAGCUUGCGUUAUAGCUCUACUGUUUUUAUAUGUUCCUAGAGAAAAUUUAGUUGAAAGUUGAUAGUAGCAAACUUUGCAGACUGAGUCUGUAAAACCGAGGAUUGUCCUCGUUGCUGCACAGAAGGCUUAUGUCCUUAAAUGCACCACUCGGUGUGCUGCACCUCGAGCGUCGUCUGUGGAUGCUGUGAACAUCCGACAUACACGUUUCUGAUUACUACACAAUAGUUCAGUGCAAGAUACUUAAUGGCUUAGAAGCAAGGCGCCGAAAACGUUGUAAAACGUCACGGAACAUAAGUGAUGUUCUAAAGAGAUGAAAUUGUGAUUUCAUGCUUGUGCCCUUGUUAAGAGGUACGAGACCUCCAACAAGAUUCUUUGUCCACAAAGUAAAAGAGAAAAGCUCAAUCGUUGAGCGUGUGCUCAGAUUGUCUGAGUACGAUAAUCACUUGAAUCAAGUGGGAGUUAAUCUUCCAGAUGAGAUGGUGAUGGUUCUCCAAAGACACUGCCACCAAGCUGUGAGAGCUUCGUGAUGAACUAUAACAUAUCGAGGAUAGAUACAAUGAUCCUUGAGCGAUUCGUGAUGUUUGACACUGCAAAAGUAGAAAUCAAGAAGGAGCAUCAAUAGUUGAUGGUUUGUAAAACCACUAAGUUUCAAGAAAGGCAAGGGCUAGAAGGGAUACUUCGUGAAACGGCAAAACAGUUGCUGCACUAAUGAAGAAACCCAAGAUUAAACCCAAACCCGAGACUAAGUGCUUCUGUAAUGAGGGGAACAGUCACUGAGGCGGAGCAACUCUAGAUACUUGGUAGAUAAAGAAGGCUGGCAGAAGUCGAAAGAAGUGUAUUUGAUAUACAUGAUGUUGAUGCGUACUUUACUAGUACUCCUAGUAGCAUGAGGGUAUUGGAUACCGGUUCAGUUGCUAAGUGAUUAGUAACACGAAAUGAAAGCUACGGCAUAAACGGAGACUAGCUAAAGGCGAGGUGACGAUACGUGUUGGAAGUGUUUCCAAGGUUGAUAUGAUCAAACGUCGCGCGCUCGCUCUACCAUCGGGAUUGGUGUUAAACCUAACUAAUUGUUAUUUGGUGCUUGCGUUAAGCAUGAACAUGAUUGGAUCGUGUUUAUUGCAAUACGAUUAUUCAUUUAAAGAGAAUAAUGGUUACUCUAUUUUCUUGAAUAUUCACCUUCAAUGGUUUAUUGAAUCUCGAUCGUAGUGUGACACAUGUUCAUAAUAUUAGUGCCAAAAGAUACGAGUUAAUGAUGAUAGUACCACUUACUUAUGGCACUGCCACUUGAGUCAUGUUAGUAUAAAUUGCAUGAAGAGGGUCCAUGCUGAUGGAUCUUUACUCAACUGAUUUCGAAUCAUUAGUGACAUGCAAAUCAUACCACAUGAGCAAGGCCUUGUUUUCAUUGAGAUGAAACAAGAUAGUAACUUGUUGGAAGUGAUACAUUUUGAUGUAUGCAGUCCAAUGAGUGCUGAGGCACGCAGUGGAUAUCAUUAUGUUCUUACUUCACUGACGACUUGAGUAGAUGCAGGAGUAUUUACUUAAUGAAUCACAAGUCUGAAAUAUUGAAAAGUUCAAUUCCGUUUCAGAGUGAAGUUCGUCGUAACAAGAGGAUGAACUGUCUACGAUAUGAUCAUAGAAAUGAAUAUCUGAGUUACGAGUUUUUGGUACACAGUUAAGACAAUGUGGAAAUUGUUUCGCAGUUCAUGCCACCUGGAACAUCAUAGUGUGAUGAUGUGUCUGAACGUCAUAGCCACGCACUAUUUGGUAUGGUGCAUACUAUGAUGUCUCUUAUCGAAUUACCACUAUCGUUUAUGGGUUAUGCAUUAGAGACAACCGCACUCACUUUAAAUAGGGCACCGCGUAUUUCCGUUGAGAUGACACAGUAUAGACUGAGGUUUAGAGAAAUCUAAACUGUCGUUUCUUGAAAGUUUGGGGUUUCGACACUUAUGUGAAAAAGUUUCAGUCUGAUAAGCUCGAACCCAAAGCGGAUAAAUGCAUCUUCAUAGGAUAUCCAAAACAGUUGGGUACAUCUCCUAUCUCAGAUCCGAAAGCAAAGUGUUUGUUUAUAGAAACGGAUCCUUUCUCGAGGAAAGGUUUCUCUCGAAAGAAUUGAGUGGGAGGGUAGUAGAACUUGAUAAGGUUAUUGAACCAUCACUUCAACCAGUGUGUAGCAGGGCGCAGGAAGUUGUUCCUGUGGCGCCUACACCAAUUGAAGUGGAAGCUGAUGAUGGUGAUCAUCAAGCAUCGGAUCAAGUUACUACAAGCCUCGUAGGUCGACAAGGUCGCGUACUGCUGUAGAGUAGUACGGUAACCCUGUCCUGGAGGUCAUGUUGUUGAGCAACAGUGAACCUACGAGUUAUGGAGAAAGCGAUGGUGGGCCCAGAUUCCGACAAAUGGCUGGAAGCCAUGAAAUCCGAGAGAGGAUCCAUGGAUGAAAACAAAGUGUAGACUUUGAAAGAACUACUUGAUGGUCAUAAGACUAUUGAGUAAAAAUGGAUCUUUAAAAGAAGACAGACGAUGAUGGUGAUAAGUCACUAUUAAGAAAAGCUCGACUUGUCGCAAAGAUGUUUUCGGUAAGAUCAAACAGUUGACUAUGAUGAGACUUUCUCACUCGUAGCGAUGCUAAAAGUCUGUUAGAAUUAUGUUAGUUGUUGAUGCAUUAUUUACGAAAUAUUGCAUGUAGGAUGUCAAAACAUUGUUUUCUCGACGGUUUCCUUGAGCAAACAUUGUAUGUGAUACAACCAGAAGGUUUUGUCGAUCCUAAAGAUACUAGCAAGUAUGCAAGCUCCAGUGAUCCUUCAAUGGACUGGUGCAAGCAUCUCGGAGUUGGAAUAUACACUUUGAUGAGAUGAUCAAAGAUUUUGGGUUUGUACAAGGUUUAUGAGAAACUUAUAUUUCCAAAGAAGUGAGUGGGAGCACUAUAGAAUUUCUGAUAGGUAUAUGUGGUUGACAUAUUGUGGAUCAGAAGUAAUGUAGAAUUUCUGUAAAGCAUACAAGGUUGUUUGAAAGAAGUUUUCAAAGGAGUACCUGGAUUACGCUACUUGAACGUUGAGCAUCAAAGAUCUAUGGAGAUAGAUCGAAAGCGCUUAAUAGAAGUUUCAACAAGAUGCAUGCCUUGACAAGUUUUUGAAAGAGUCCAAAAUAGACCAGCAAAGAAGGAGUUCUUGGUUGCGUUGUGAGGUGUGAAUUUGAGUAAGACUCAAAACCCGACCACGGCAGAAUAAAGAGAAUAGACGAAGGUCGUCUUCUAUGCCUUAGCCGUAGAAUCUAAAGUAUGCCAUGCUGUGUACCGCACCUGAAGUGUGCCUUGACUCAAAGUAUGUUGAGAGGUACACAGAGUGAUCCAUGAUUGAAUCACUAGCAGCGGUCGAAAUUUAUCCUUAGUAACUAAUGGACUAAGGAAUUUUUCUCGAUUAUGGAGGUGGUUAAAGAGUUCGUCGUAAAGGGUUACGUCGAUGCAAGCUUUGACACUAAUCCGAAUAACUAGGAGUAGUGAAACGGAUUCGUAUAGUAGAGUAGAUAUUUGGAGUAUUUCCGAAUAGCACGUAGUAGCAGCAUCUAUAAGAUGACAUAAAGAUUUGUAAAGAACGCACGGAUCUGAAAGUUUCAGAACAGUUGACUAAAACCUCUCUGACGAGCAAGACGUGAUCAGACCCCAUAACUAUAUGGGUGUUGGAUUCGUUGGAAUCACAUGGUGAUGUGAACUAGAUUAUUGACUCUAGUGCAAGUGGGAGACNNNNNNNNNNNNNNNNNNNNNNNNNNNNNNNNNNNNNNNNNNNNNNNNNNNNNNNNNNNNNNNNNNNNNNNNNNNNNNNNNNNNNNNNNNNNNNNNNNNNACAGAUUUAAAAGUAUUUAGUAAAAUCCUAUUAUGACAUCAUCGCGAUGUCAGGCUGACAUCAACGUUUGACUGGUCAACUGACCAGCGGGUCCCGAACGUCAUAGGCACAAGUUUUAUUUAAGAUUAAAAUAUUUAUUAAUCAGAUAAAUUCAACGAGGGACCCACGUGUCAUACUCUAAUUAUGUUAAUUAAUUAUUUUAACUAAUAUAUCUAUUUAUUUAUUUAUUUUAAGAAAACAUUAUUUUUAAUUAUCGCGUGGGGCCUCCCUGUCAUUGACAGCGGUGCAUUGGCCCCACCGGUAAGUGGCCUAAAGCUAAUUUCUCAUUUAUUUUUAUUAGAUACCUAUCCGUGCAAAUACCGUAUUUCUCUAAAUAUCCAAAUACACAAAUACAUACAUAAUACGGGCAUCGAAUACAUACAUACAUACAUACAUACAUACAGCAUCUAAUACAUCAAUUGUUUUUAUUUCUUUUUCUCUCAAAACACUCAUCUCUCAUCUCUCUGUUAACAGAGACACAACUUUCUCUAACACCACCUAGAAGAACCAAAUACUCAAAUCCUUCUACCGGAGUCCACCGUCGACGGAUCGAGGCCCCGUUUGCCGGAACGGAACCGGGACGUCGAGGAGAACGACACGGUGGGAGGAGCCCGAGGAGGGGCUCACCGACGGUGACGUGACGGCCCGGUGAAGCCGGAGUUCGCACGAAGAUGUCGGUGGAGACGGACGUGGAGGCGGUGACGGUGACGGUGGUGGUGACGUGCCGGCGAGGAGGAGCCGGUGAGGAGGGCCCCGGUGAGGAGAGGCCCCCGGAGGUGGAGCCGCCGACGGGGAGGGGCGGCCACCGUAGAGAGGGCCGCCGGAGAGGGACCUCCCGGAAGGGGCCGGCCGCCGAGAUGGGGGGGCCGAGGCAACCGGGGCCCCCUGCCGGCGGGGUGGGUGGCUCGCCGGCGAGGAGGGAGGGGCUCGGCCGGCGGGGAGGAGGGGCUCGGCCGGCGGGGCGAGGGGAGGGGCCACCGGGGGAGGAAGGGGGGCCGUGGGUGGGGAGGAGGCCGUGGGGUGGGGAGGAGGCGGUGGAGGGAGGAGGCCGGCGGGGUAGAGGGCUGCCGGCGGGGAGGGGUGGCCGCCGGCCGGUGGGAUGGAGGGGCGGCCGAGGGGAGGGGCCGAGGAUUGGGGGAGGUGUCGGUCGUGGGAGGAGAUGGGGGUCGUAUUGGGGGUUGUUGGUAGGGUANNNNNNNNNNNNNNNNNNNNNNNNNNNNNNNNNNNNNNNNNNNNNNNNNNNNNNNNNNNNNNNNNNNNNNNNNNNNNNNNNNNNNNNNNNNNNNNNNNNNAGUUGGUAUCAGAGCCAACUGCCUGUAGGUAGCCCCCUUUCCAACUCCUUGGCCGAAGUUGAGUCUAGUGUUUGAAAAACUUUACUAACACUGAUGUUGUGGCUUACGGGCCCACAUCUCAAUUGGGUGGUAUUAGUAUCUCUUACUCCUUUUCCUAUACUCUGGGCUCUACUUCCUCUUCUCUUUCGGGUCAAAGAUUUUACUAACUCUAACAUUAGGUUCUCGAAUCACAUCAAUCCGGAGCGCUGGACUAUCUACUCUUUCUCUCGUGAAUAUGUAUUACACACACUGUCAUUGACAUCCGUCAAUCUUAUUUUCAGAUGCGUCCCGCAAGGCAGCACGUGCGCCUGACACAGGCCACCGAGACGACUGGGUUCCCGGCCAUUUUGGUCGAUCUCCUGACCAGACUGGGAUAUCGCUGGUACCCCGAGUACACCGUGUUCGAGGAUUUCCGCGAGUACAACCAGUGCCAGUACCAGGCUGAGGUUCGCAUCUUCGAUCAGAGAGGCGGCGAGACCCUCGAGCGCCACGUGUUCUGUGGUAUUGGAGUGUCGGUCGAGAUGGCCGUCCAUGAUGCGGCCUACAUCGCCAUCACCCGUCUCCGUGGAGCGUACCCUCACCUGGAGGAGAGCCCUUUCAGAUACAUCCCGCAUGCUCCUGCUGGGGAUGAGACUGGGUCUGAUCUCACUGCCUACACUUCUGACGUUCGGGAGCGCAGCGACCGUUCCUACGUCGCUGUCUGCGCCCCCUACGUAACGCGUCGGUACGACGCGCGGAUUCUGGUGCAGUACACUGAGGCAAUGGAUCGUGCUUUCCGAGCUCUGACUGUGGAGUUGUAUGCUACACGCGCUCGUCUUUACGACGCGUUGACAGAGCUGCAGCCAUCACACUGUCCGAGGGUUCCCCCUUUGCGCAUCCGCGAGCCGAGCAGGACAGAGCUACCAUCAGCUCUCGAGUGGACAGAUGUUGGGGGUAGAACCCCUGCACUUGGACCUCAGCUCCUCGACUGGAUGCGGUACCGUCACCAGAGUCACAACGGGACACAGGGUCCUGUCCCUACCUUCUAUCACCGCCAGCUACCAGGAUUCGUUCGUCCUCUCCGACGUUGAUGUAGCCUUAUCGCUACAUCUCGUCGUGGUACUCUUCCACCGCGUGCCUGCGCGCCGCCUAGUGAGUCCAGGGUAUCGUCAAAUGCGUCCGGGCUAUCGCCAAAUUUCGAGUUUUUAAUCGUUAGUCUGGAAUCGAACUUAUGUAUGGGUCUGUAUGUCGAACUCAACUACUAUGGAGUAUCUAUCGCAUUUCCCUUUCAUUAUGCUUGAUUACUUCAUGAAUGCGUGCGAUGCCUUUCGAUUACUUUAAGCUAAACUACCCCUGCUAAAUAUUUAACAGGAUGGUUAGACCAGCUGGCCGCCCGCGUGGCCGUGCCAACGAUGCACCACCCCCGCCUCCUGAGUAUAUGGCGGGGAUGAUCCAACAGUUUGAGCUGAACCGCCAGUUUAUGCAAGGGCUCAUGGAUCAGUUCCAAAGGCCGAACAUGAACCAACCACAAGGCGUGACACUGCAAGACUUCUGCCGUCUCAACCCUGCGAUCUACCGCAGCUCAACUCAGCCUCUAGAUGCUGAUGACUGGCUCCGUGACAUUUCUUAUGAGCUAGAGUCUGCCAAUGUGCCCCUGGCGAGCUAUGUCAACUUUGCCGCAUACUUUCUGAAGGGUCCCGCUGCUCAAUGGUGGGACAGCCACAGGCGCUCUCAGCCCGAUGGAACUAUCAUCACUUGGGAAGAGUUCAAGGCUGCUUUCCGUGCUCGAUACAUUCCCCAGGGAAUCAUGGACCGGAAGAAGCGUGAGUUCCGCAACUUAGUCCAGGGCAACAAGACCGUGGAUGCUUAUCAGCGGGAAUUUCUGGAAUUAUCUCGCUAUGCUGAAGAAGACAUUGCGACUGAUACACGCAGGCAGGAGAAGUUCCGUGAAGGCCUCCACCCUGAUAUCAAGCUGACACUCCUCGUUCAGGACUAUGCUGAUUUCGCCACCCUCGUGAACAAGGCUAUUCAGGUUGAGACUGGUCUGCAGGAAUACAAAGAUAGCAGCAAGCGCAACCGUGACAUGGGCUCAUCUGCACAGAAGCGGAAGAUCUGGAUUCCCAACAUGUACCAUGCACCUGCUCCUACUCCGAGGCCGUCCUAUGCUGCACCUCGCCUGCCUCCUCCACCACCUAGGCAGCCGAGGCUUCCAGCUCCACCGCCUCGAGUUCCUCCUUCCCGUCCCGAGGACGGGCUGUGCUUCAAGUGUGGCCGUCCAGGUCACCGUGCUAGAGACUGCAGGCAGAAUCAGAAUCAGCUGGCACUUCCCGCAACUGGCCGUGGCAACAACCAGAACCGCAACUUCAACGCUAAGCCUGCUUAUGUUCGUGGUCAGGCCAACAACAUUGAUAUGGGUCAAGCUCAAGACCAGCCUGCUACCGUGAUGGGUACACUUCUCGUUAACUCAGUACCUGCUUCUGUAUUGUUUGAUACAGGAGCAUCGCAUUCCUUUAUGUCGGAAAAUUUUGCAUACAUGCAUGACAUUAGGAGCGAAGAGAUGAACAUCCCGAUAGUGGUAAACACCCCUGGGGGCGAAUGCCGAACCUCUGUGGUUUGCCCCCAUGUUCCAGUUGAAAUUGAAGGAUUAGAAUUCCUUGCCAACCCCAUCCUACUAAAGUCAUCCAACAUUGAUCUCAUAUUGGGGAUGGACUGGUUGAAAGCUCAUACGGCAUCGAUCGUUUGUGCCACCAAAACCGUCCACCUCCUACACCCUUCAGAUGAACUAGUAAGCUACCAUGCUCAUCUCGUCCGUAAUGCUGAGGCACGGCUGUAUGCCGUGAAUGCAUUAAAUGCGUCGCCUCUUGAAGGGAUUGAAAACAUUCCAGUGGUCCGAGAAUUCCAAGAUGUCUUUCCAGAAGAACUUCCGGGGAUUCCCCCUGCUCGAGCUGUCGAGUUUGUCAUUGACUUGGUACCCGGUACCACUCCUAUUGCCAAGCGUCCUUAUAAAAUGCCACCACAUGAACUCCUUGAACUUAAGCAAGAAAUUGACAACUCGCUCCGUCUGGGUUUCAUCCGUCCGAGUUCCUCUGCUUGGGGAGCACCUUCUCUCUUUGUUAAGAAGAAGGAUGGGACAAAUCGAUUGGUUCAAGACUAUCGUCCUAUCAACCAGGCCACUAUUCAAAACAAAUAUCCUCUCCCUCGGAUAAAUGAUUUGUAUGAUCAACUUGCUGGUUCCACCGUUUUCUCUAAGCUCGACUUGAGAUUGGGAUACCACCAGAUCCGUGUUCGCAAGGAGGAUAUUCCAAAGACCGCCUUUGUUACUCGAUAUGGGUCCUACGAGUACACCGUCAUGUCCUUCGGAUUAACCAAUGCACCGGCAACUUUCUCUAGAUUGAUGAAUUAUAUAUUCAUGGACUACCUCGACAAAUUUGUCGUGGUAUAUCUGGAUGAUAUUCUGGUGUUUUCAAAGAACAAAGAAGAGCAUGCUGAACAUCUUCGUCUUGUACUGGAUAAGCUUCGGGAGCAUAAACUCUAUGCGAAGUAUUCCAAAUGUGAGUUCUGGCUAGACGAAGUGACUUACCUUGGUCAUGUGAUUUCCAAGGAUGGUAUUGCGGUCAAUCCCGAACGAAUUCAAGCUAUUCUUGACUGGACUCCCCCGAAGAAUGUCAAGCAAGUCAGAAGUUUUCUCGGACUCGCCAGCUAUUGCCGUCGAUUCGUCGAGAACUUCUCCAAGAUUGCGAAGCCCUUAACCAACCUGCUUCACAAAGGUGUUAAGUAUGAAUGGACUGAUAAAUGUCAGGAAAGUUUUCAGGCACUCAAGGACAAACUGACGUCCGCUCCAGUACUUGCUCCUCCAGAUACAAAAAGGGAUUUCGUCAUAUACUAUGAUGCUUCUCGUCAAGGAAUAGGUUGUGUCCUAAUGCAGGAUCGCAAGGUGAUCGCUUAUGCUUCACGUCAACUGCGUGCUCAUGAAGAGAACUACCCAGUUCAUGAUCUCGAACUUGCCGCAGUCAUUCAUGCAUUGAAGGAAUGGCGACAAUACCUUGUCGGUAAUCGCUGUGAAAUCUACACCGACCAUCAAAGUCUGAAGUACUUGUUCACUCAACCGGAGCUGAACCUGCGUCAACAAAGAUGGAUGGAGCGUAUAGCAGAUUUUUACUGUAGUAUAUCAUAUACCCCUGGCAAGGCUAAUGUAAUGGCUGAUGCCUUAAGUCGCAAGUCAUACUGCAACCACCUCCAGGUUCAUCAGGUUCACGAUCGUCUGCAAGAGGAAUUCCGUAAGCUGAACCUCCACAUUGUUCCUCAGGGUUACCUUGUUCCUCCCCCUGAAGAGUAUCAAAAGAUGAACCUUCGUGUUGUUAAUCAGGGUUCCCUCAGUAACCUAGUGGUUGAACCAGAUCUUGUAAGCUCCAUAAAGAAUAUACAGAACUUUGACGAUGAUGUCGACAGGAUUAAGAGCUAUAUUGCAAAGGGUAAACCCUCCUUUUUCACUGUUGAUGAAGGUGGCGCCUUGUAUUUCAAGGGUCGCCUAUUCGUCCCAAAUAAGAAGGAAAAUCUCAGGAUGACUGGGAAGGUGAUGGAAGAAGCUCAUGACACACCAUUGUCUAUUCACCCGGGUAGUACCAAGAUGUACCAAGACAUCCGGCAAAGAUUCUGGUGGCCCAAUAUGAAACAAGACAUUGCACGCUAUGUGGCAGAAUGUGAUAUAUGCCGGCGUAUCAAAGCAGAACACCAAAAGCCUGCUGGAACUCUGCAACCUAUCUCUAUUCCCGAGUGGAAAUGGGAUCACGUUGAAAUGGACUUCGUCACUGGUUUUCCCAGGUCUCAGAAAGGUAAUGAUGCUAUUCUUGUCGUCAUUGAUCGACUGUCCAAAGUUGCACAUUUCCUGGCCGUCAAAGAAACGAUUAAUGCUAGUCAGCUGGCAGAUCUUUAUAUGUCAAGAGUUGUUUCACUUCACGGUAUUUCGUUGGUAAUCAGUUCGGACCGUGGUAGCUUGUUUACUUCAAAAUUCUGGGAAAGUUUUCAGAAGGCUAUGGGGACUCAUCUGUCCUUCAGCACUGCAUUUCAUCCUCAAUCCCAGGGACAAGUUGAACGAGUCAACCAAAUUCUCGAAGACAUGCUUCGAGCUUGUGUCAUUUCUUUCGGUAAGAAAUGGGAGGAAUCUCUCCCGUAUGCCGAGUUCUCGUACAACAAUAGCUAUCAAGCUAGUCUGAAGAUGGCCCCUUUCGAAGUAUUGUAUGGGCGAAGGUGUCGAACUCCUCUGAAUUGGUCAGAAACUGGAGAACGAUCACUCUUCGGUCCGGAUAUUAUUCAACAUGCCGAAGAUCAAGUCCGCAUUAUUCAUGAGAAUCUGAAGGCUGCUCAGUCUCGUCAGAAGAGUCAGUAUGACCGUCAUCAUCAAGAUAUAGUCUAUCAACCUGGCGAAAAGGCUUAUCUUCGAGUCACACCAAUGAGGGGUGCACACCGUUUCGGAAUCAAGGGCAAGUUAGCUCCUCGUUAUAUUGGUCCUUUCACUGUUCUCGAAAGGCGUGGAAGAGUGGCUUAUCAAUUGGAACUGCCGGCGAACCUUUCUCAGGUUCACGAUGUCUUCCAUGUUUCUCAACUCCGUCGCUGCUUCAAGGAUCCUAUUCGAGCAGUGGAUCACGAUAUGCUUGAGCUACAACAAGACCUCUCUUAUAAAGAGCAUCCGGUCCGCAUUCUCGACCAAGCUGAACGUAAGACUCGUCGCAAGGUCACUAAGUUCCUUAAGGUGCAGUGGUCAAAUCACUCUGAAGAUGAAGCCACUUGGGAACGCGAGGAUCAUCUUCGUGAUGAAUACCCCGGGCUCUUUCCCUCUACCUCUUAAUUCUCGGGACGAGAAUUCUUGUUAGUAGGGGAGAAUUGUGACAUCCUCGACUUUUGCUACAGUAGUAAUUGUAAUUAAGCUACAGUGAUCACCGCUAAUGAUGCCACGUCAUCGAAUUCCCAUCUCAGACCCGCGUGGAUUCGCGUCUGUCCGGAUCGAUGAUUUGAAAGCAAUGGGAAGCACCUUAUCGGUUCAUUACAAGUAUUAAAAGGAUAUACAUAUAAGAGGAAAGUAUUGAAGAAAUAGUAAUGAUAAAAGAAAGAAAAGAAAACUGAAAGAAAGGAUUAAUAAAAAGAAAAGGAAAAAGGUAAAAAAAAUAAAAACAAAUCAAAAAAAAAAAAAAAGAAAGACMWCGHCCCCASCCGGCCCAACCUVGGCCGAACGUAGGCCCAGMCGCCGSCCCCCGGCCCCGACCCCGUAAANNNNNNNNNNNNNNNNNNNNNNNNNNNNNNNNNNNNNNNNNNNNNNNNNNNNNNNNNNNNNNNNNNNNNNNNNNNNNNNNNNNNNNNNNNNNNNNNNNNNGCAUGCAAGCUUGUGGCUUUGCAUAUCAUUAGCAUCAUGGUAUUCAAAGAAUUCAUACUAACAACACUGAAAUCAUGCUCAUCAUUCACAUAUUUUAUGCCAAGCAUUCUAUGUAAUUCUUCUUCUAGCACUUGAGCACAAUUUUCUUUUCCAUCAUUUUCAUGAAAGACAUUAAAAAGAUGAAGCAUAUGAGGUAACCUUAAUUUCAUUUUUUUGUAGUUUUCUAUUAAUAAACUAAACUAGUGAUAAAACAAGAAACUAAAAGGUCCAAUUGCAAGAUCUAAAGAUAUACCUUCAAGCGCUAACCUCCCCGGCAACGGCGCCAGAAAAGAGCUUGAUGUCUACCACGCAACCUUCUCCUUGUAGACGUUGUUGGGCCUCCAUGUGCAGAGGUUUGUAGAACAGUAGCAAUUUUCCCUCAAGUGGGUGACCUAAGGUUUAUCAAUCCGUGGGAGGCGUAGGAUGAAGAUGGUCUCUCUCAAGCAACCCUGCAACCAAAUAACAAAGAGUCUCUUGUGUCCCCAACACACCCAAUACAAUGGUAAAUUGUAUAGGUGCACUAGUUCGGCGAAGAGAUGGUGAUACAAGUGCAAUAUGGAUAGUAGAUAUAGGUUUUUGUAAUCUGAAAUUAUAAAAAUAGCAAGGUAAUUAAUAAUAAAAGUGAGCACGAACGGUAUUGCAAUGCGUGGAAACAAGGCCUAGGGUUCAUACUUUCACUAGUGAAGUUCUCUCAACAAUGAUAACAUAAUUGGAUCAUAUAACUAGCCCUCAACAUGCAACAAAGAGUCACUCCAAAUUCACUAAUAGCGGAGAACAAACGAAGAGAUUAUUGUCGGGUACGAAACCACCACAAAGUUAUUCAUUCUGAUCGAUCUAUUCAAGAGUCCGUAGUAAAAUAACACGAGGCUAUUCUUUCCGUUCAAUCUAUCCUAGAGUCCGUACUAGAAUAACACCUUAAGACACACAUCAACCAAGACCCUAAUGUCACCUAGAUACUCCAUUGUCACCUCAAGUAUCCGUGGGCAUGAUUAUAUGAUAUGCAUCACACAAUCUUAGAAUCAUCUAUUCAACCAACACAUAGAACUUCAAAGAGUGGCCCAGAGUUUCUACCGGAGAGUCAAAACGUGUGCCAACCCAUAUGCAUAGGUUCCCGAUGUCACGAAACCCGCAAGUUGAUCACCAAAACAUACAUCAAGUACUCACAUGAAUAUCCCAUUGUCACCAUAGAUAGACACGUGCAAGACAUACAUCAAGUGUUCUUAAAGACUCAAUCCGAUAAGAUAACUUCAAAGGGGAAACUCAAUUCAUCACAAGAAGGGAGAGGGGGAAGAACAUCAUAAGAUCCAACUAUAGUAGCAAAGCCCGCGGUACAUCGAGAUCAUGGCAUCUCAAUAACACGAGCGAGAGAGAUCAAACACAUAGCUACUGGUACAUACCCUCAGCCCCGAGGGAGAACUACUCCCUCCUCGUCAUGGAGAUCGCCGGCAUGAUGAGAGAUGGCCACCAGAGAUGGAUUCCCCCUCCGGCAGGGUGCCGGAACGGGCUCCCGAUUGGUUUUUGGUGGCUAGAGAGGCUUGCGGCGGCGAAACUCCCAAUGUAGAUUUAUUUCUGGAGGUUUCUGUAUUUAUAAGACCAGAUGGCAUCGAGAACAAGUCAGUGGGACCCACGAGGGAGUCACGAGCCCCCCAGGCGCGCCCAGGGGGUUGGCGCGCCUCCCUGGCUCCUGGCUUCCUCGGGACUCCUCUCCGGUAUCUUUUUCUUCUGGUAUUUUUGAUAUUUUCCAUAAAAAAUCACGACAAAAGUUUUAUUCCGUUUGGACUCCGUUUGAUAAUCCUAUCUGAAAAAGGUCAAAAACAAGGAAAAAAACAGGAACUGGCACUGGGCUCUAGGUCAAUAAUUUAGUCCCAAAAAUAAUAUAAAAUAGCAUAUUCAUGCAUAUAAAACAUCCAAAGUCGAUAAUAUAAUAGCAUGGAAUGAGCAAAAAUUAUAGAUACGUUGGAGACGUAUCAAUGAUAUAAAAACUACUAGCUAAUCCUUAUGCAGGAGAUGGAACAAUACAUCCUGAUUUGCAUCUAAUAUAUGUGGAUGAAGUUUGUGGAUUAUUUAAGCUUGCGGGUCUGCCUGAGGAUGAUGUCAAAAAGAAGGCCUUUCCUUUAUCUUUGAAGGAAAAGGCGUUGACAUGGUAUAGGCUAUGUGAUGAUAUUGGAUCAUGGAACUACAACCGAUUGAAAUUCGAAUUUCAUCAGAAGUUUUAUCCUAUGCAUCUGGUUCAUCGUGAUCAGAAUUAUAUUUAUAAUUUUUGGCCUCGUGAAGGAGCAAGAAUCACUCAAGCUCGGGGGAGGCUUAAGUCAAUGUUAUAUUCAUGCCCCAAUCAUGAGCUCCCGAGAGAAAUUAUUAUUCAGAAUUUUUAUGCUCGGCUCUCUCAUAAUGAUCAAUCCAUGGUUGACACUUCUUGUGCUGGUUCUUUCAUGAAGAAAGAUAUUGAAUUCAAAUGGGACUUAUUGUAAAGAAUUAAACACAACUCUGAAGAUUGGGAACUCGACGAAGGUAAUGAGUUAGGUAUAAGCCUUAAGUUUGAUUGUGUUAAUUCCUUUGUAGACACUAAUGCUUUUCAUGAUUUUAGCACUAAAUAUGGACUUCACUCUGACGUAGUAGCUUCAUUUUGUGAAUAUUUUGCUACUCAUGUUGAUCUGCCCAGGAGAAGUGGUUUAAAUAUCAUCCUCCCAUUGAAUUUAAAGUGGUAGAACCUAUUAAAGUUGAAGAAGAAACUAUUAUUUAUAAUGUUGAUCCUGUUAUUCCUACUGCUUAUCUUGAGAAACCACUGUUUCCUGUUAGGAUAAAGGAGCAUGCUAAAGCUUCAACUGUGGUUCGUAAGAGUUGCACUAGAACACCUAUAACUUAUGAGAAAAUUAAAGUAGAACCUAAUAUUGCUAUGGUCAAACAUCUAUUGGUUGAUAAUAUUGAUGGGCAUGUCAUUCACUUCUAUGAUGAAGCCUCUAGAAUUGCUAGACCUGAUACUAAGGCUAAACAUAGACCCGUUGUUGGCGUGCCUGUUGUUUCUGUUAAUAUAGGAGAUCAUUGUUAUCAUGGCUUAUCUAAUGUGGGUGCUAGUGUGAGUGCAAUUCCAUUUACCUUAUACCAAGAAAUUAUGAAUGAUCACUACAAGAAAUAUGGUUGUUUAUGACAAAAAAUCAUGACGGCGGUUUAAUUGGUCAUAGAUCAAUGACCAAAAUUUAGAAUUUGGUCAGGGCGAGCGUUGGAGGGUCCAAACCCUAUAGUAUUAUGACAAUUUGUGUCCAUAAGGUCAUGAUUCCAUUGCCCAAAAUGGUCAUUAACAUGUCUAGCACUACUCAUGAUGUUAAUUCAUACCAGCAAUGAAAAAAUGAUAAGAUUAUAAUCAUAGAUUUUAUGUGACUGGAUGAUACCUCCAUUUUUUUCCUACGUGUCAAUUUUCUAUGUGUCAACCACACUUAAGGGUGGGAUCAAUCUGUCAUUCAAACCUAAUAAUCUAGCAAAUCGAUGGACCAAUUAUAAGAUUCGGGUCUCGAAAGCUUUUGUUGUGGGCCCAUGUGUUAUAUGGACCUGCUUACCGAGCUAACCGGUGCAACCACCACCAUGUGAAGUGUGUUGACAUGUCGGACCCACCUGGGAGACCCAUGGCCCAAUAAGAAAAUAAGGAUGAUGAAUGACCUCAAAACAUGGAAGGGGGACGGUCUAAACGAUAAUUUCAAGCUAAGGAGUGAAAAUCGGUUUUUAGUAUGUAUGUAUGCAAGGCAUAUUAGAAAAAAUCCAAAUGAAAUAGGAAAAAGCCAAAAUUACUCGCUUCGACGUGCCCAUGAUAAUUUCAUAAUUUUUAGAACUUGUUUAGAUUUUAGAAAAAUAAAAGUCACUAAGACAUAUCGAGAUGUUUGAAUGAUCCCAAGAAAUGAUUCAAAUUAGUUAUACAUAAUCUAGAUAUGAGAUAAAAGUUAUAAAAUUGCUAAACUAUGAAUUUUAUUUUUAUUUCGACAUAAGAUUUGUGAUAAAUGUACUACAAGAUUUAAUUAUAUCCAAUAAAAAUCAUUUAACACUUAAAUAAUAGCAGAUGAUGUUAAUGACAUAUAUAUUGUAGUAUGUUCUAUGAUUUUUUUAGAAAAAAAUCGAUGAAAUAUUUUUUCAAAGGUACUAAAGAAUGUACAUUAACUUGGUCUUUGGGAAAAUAAAGAACACAUUAUAUUACAUAACAAGAUUUAAUAUGAAGGAGUAUUCGUUAAUUCUAAUGUUUAUACGGGAUAAGAUGAAAACAUAACAUGCACAUUAUUACUAUACACAACAACCUGGGUCCCAUUAUCAUCCAGGGUUAAAAAAUCGGUUUCUCUUAAACAAAACGAGAAAAUGGAGCGCGUGGCAGCCAAAAUUUUAGAGAAGGAUGGCGGCAUCGCGAAAUUUUCCCCACCUGGAUAACCCUAAAUCCUCCACAGCGCCGCCACUCUCCGUUUUGUAUCUCAGAUCCAAUCGAGUCCCACCACCGCUAUCCUCUUCCAUCGUUGUAUCACCGCUCCUAGCCCUCGCUGCCACCAGGUUAUCCCCCUCCUUCCUCCGUGCAUCUGAGACGAGCGGACGGUGGCGAAGUGAAUCAAGACUGGGCAACAGGAGGACAAUGGCGAAGUGAUGGACUCCCCCCCCCCCCCCCCCCCCGCGCCGGUGACUGGACCUUGCGCGCGCGGUCGGUGGUGUGAUGGCGGCCGGCAUAUCUCCGCCGCCUCUCUCCCCCCGCCGACGACGACGCGUAUUCCAGCACCCCUCUAGCCCCUAUAGGCCUGCCGGAACCUUGCCCAGGCGAUGGGUCACCUGGUGGACGUCCUCGAUCCUUGGCAGCGCAAGCAGUACUGGUCGUCUGUAGGUGCCGGACGGCCCAAAUAUCGCCACCACUAGAUCCAUCUGCCCCUGUCGUUGCUGCCGCAUUGCCAUAUCUCGUAAUUCGCAGUUGCCGUCGCCAUCUUAUUUUCUCCGGAUGCUCUGCCGUCCUGUGAAUCCCUCCCUUUAUUUGUGCAAUAAAUACUCUGAUUUUUGCUGCUCUGUCUGCCUCAUCUUGCAGCACGACACCUUUGGACAUGGGGGUGGCAAGAUGGAGUCCCGACUACUGCUGUCGUCGCCUUGAGCUUGCUUGCCCUUGAUGGAAGAACCACAAGCGGGACUGCCACGGGUUGCUCGCUCUCACCAAACCAGACCAACAUCUUCAAGUUAUCAUUGUAAGCACCCCCUUCCUCCUCCUGUUGCUACUAAAAUCAAUCUGUACACAUGGGUUUCAUUGUCUAGGUGAGUGCUCGGGUUGCUGUGUUGGUAUCGGGGCAAGGUGGGAAACUUUAGUAUGUGAUAGUUGGAUCAGUAGGUGUCCGUAGAAGUGUCUGUCGGCAGAAAAUGGUUUCAGCAGUAGAGUGACUGAUUGCUUAGCAGUUGGGUCGACCUAUAUUUUGUGGCACAACACUGACUUUGUGUAGCUGUUGAUUCUAAAAGCCAAAUAUAUCAUGCCUUCUGGACCUUACAUAUAUAUUUCUAGCAUACUGAUGAAUUCAGUGUCAUAUCAAAUAUGACAUCAACCCCUUUUGGUAGUUCCAUGUUACUAAAUGAUAUCCUGUCAUGUAGACUUGCAGAUUAACAUUGUCGAGUAGCAAUUUGUGUUGAAAGGCUAGAACUAGACGCUGGGAGAUAUGUGCGUUCGUUUGUGCCAUCCUCACUGUCGUCGUGCGCAAGGACCCUAGGCAUCCCAUGUAUGUGGCCAAGGUGACCACGCCUCUUGCAGCUUUGUUUGUGCCAUCCUCACUGUCGUCGUGCGCAAGGCCCUAGGCAUCCCAUGUAUGUGGCCKAAGGUUGACCACGCCUCUUGCAGCUUUGUUUGUGCCAUCCUCACUGUCGUCGUGCGUCAAGGACCCUAGGCAUCCCAUGUAUGUG